UUCCCGUACGGUCACGGAAGUUAAGCAACGUCGAAACUGGUCAGUACCGAGAUGGGUGACCGCUUGGGAAUACCAAGUGCCGUAA